rfam:Physcomitrella patens subsp. patens PHYPAscaffold_94 genomic scaffold, whole genome shotgun sequence.
AGACGAUGACGACACAGUGAAAGGUCUCGUUCGGCAUAUUGGCCCAAAGGCCAUGCUGACCAUUCUAAAAAGAUCACCACCCAUAAUCUGAUGUCU